UUUAUUGCAGUGAUGAGGAGUAGUAAUAUAAUUACUUAUUUAAAGAGAGCUACAGCUUGGUGUAAUGUAGUAAUAAGCUUAUAUGAACUUGCCUGGGAGCUUACUUGUUAAAAGCAAGUACGGAUUUAACCGUUAUAUUAUCAAGGGAGACCUUUAUGGUCUAAAUAGAGUGGUACCGCGGAAUUAUAGUUUUCGUCUCUUUC
rnacentral:ncRNA from 1 species